rnacentral:rRNA from 1 species
UACGUAGGGGGCAAGCGUUAUCCGGAUUCACUGGGUGUAAAGGGAGCGUAGACGGCGACGCAAGUCUGGAGUGAAAGCCCGGGGCCCAACCCCGGGACUGCUCUGGAAACUGCGGCGCUGGAGUACGGGAGGGGCAGGCGGAAUUCCUGGUGUAACGGUGAAAUGCGUAGAUAUCAGGAGGAACACCGGCGGCGAAGGCGGCCUGCUGGACCGUGACUGACGUUGAGGCUCGAGAGCGUGGGGAGCAAACAGG